AUUGAAUACCUAAUCCUCAUAUUAGAAUACCCACCAUCAUGGUCUCUCUCCAGAUCUCUCACUAUCUCUCUCCAAUAAGGUGCGAGGGUUUGUCAGAUCUCGUAGCCACAUGAGUGGAAUCUCAAUUGGCGAUUCAUCAUCACAUCUCACUCGCAGAUCGUACUCCUGAUCUCAACUUGUUUAUCUCACCACCAUGGCGGCCGCUAACGCUCUGAUCACCAUGAGACCCUAACGGUAAAUUACUUUUUGCAUUUCUUUCCGAGUCGUACUCCUUUUUUUUUUUUUUUUAAUUUUAGCUAAAUUUGCAUGAUUAUUUGAAUGAACUGAUAGAAAACAGUUUGAAAUCAUCUGAAAUUCAAAUCUUUGUUGUUGUUUUCUUUCACCUUUUGAUUUGUGCAAUUUAUUGUAGUACAAGUGUUUCUAUUGGUUAAUAUCCGCCCUAAAAGAACUUACAGAUCUAUUAUGUGUAAUUACAUUUAGAUCUGUACUAUAGAUGUAGUUUAUCUGUGGAGUUACAAAAGUCGAGUUUAUGAAUAUGGCAUCUAAAUUAUGUGUUCUGGGUGGGCAAUUUUUUUGUCUUAGUGGUUGUGUACAGUGUUUUAAAUAAAAAUUGUGACGUUGUUACAGUUGCCAAGCAUAGGGAUAAACCCACAAUUUAUCACGUUUAGGAAUGUUACAAUGAAAUCGGAGAAGUAUAUAUGUGUUCGUGAGACGGCGCCACAUAUCAGUGUUGUGAUUAUUGAUAUGUUCAAGAGUAUUGCAGGUUUGCAAGAAAGAUAAUAGUCAGAAUUUUUCUUUAUUUUAAUCGUGGAUUUAACUGUACUAAAAUAUAGUCUAUUAUACUAGUUCGACUCAAUGUUUUGCUAAAAAUAAAGAUUACUUUCUUUGCCAAAGUUUAUAUGUACUGUGAGUUUGCAUUUCUUUUGGAACCUUUUCUACCUAAAGUAUUCGAUUUUAAUAGUUUGAUGGUUGGCUACGUAGCCCAAGUUCUAUUUAAAAAGGAAAUUGUGUUGUUUUUAAAGAUCUUUACUAUAAGAUACAACAUUGUAAACUUAGCAGAGAACACAAGUCCUAUAUGUUGUCUUGAAGUGACAGGAUUUUUUUGGCUAUUUUUUUUGGUGGGCCAGGGGACCUGAGAUUUCGAAGGUUAUGGCUUCCUAUCCAACUGGCUUAUGGUCAUUCACCUAUAUAAAUAUAUAUCUUUGUUUUUCCUCUUUUCUGGUUAUCUUAAUUUUAUUUGGUGAAUUGAGUCAAUUAACUGAAUUUACCUUGGGUCUAUCAAGUAUGCCUGUUAUCUUCAUUCUAAACUGACCCUUCAGUGCAAUCGUAGUUUUUUUUGCUUUUGUCAAUAUUAAAACUAUUGAAGUUAAUGUAAAGGUUUAAUAUCUUAAAGAUAAAAAAUAGAGAAUGAACCAAUAUAUAAGACUAAGAGGACAGACUACAAAUUUAGUAUUUUGUAUUUAAUUGUUUUUUCUCCGAUUGUUUUGACAUACGGUUUUUUCAAAUUGUGCUAGUAGAAUAUAAAAGUGUCUUUGUGAUAGUAAAACUGAUGAACAACCUAUUCAUAUAUCAAUUAUUUGCGAGAUAUAUAACAAAAAUGGCGUUUUAGUGGCGACAACAAAAGCAAUGAUGGUGAGUUUGGUAAAAUGCAUCAAUGUUGCAAGCAUCGAGUGAUAGUAAGGUUGUGGUAGAGGCGUCUUUGGUAGUGAUAGUAAGGUUGUGGUAGAGGCGUCUUUGGUAGAUAUAGUUAAGGCAUUGCUAGUGGUGAUCUUGGAGGGAAGGUCAGUAGGGCUUCAGUGUUGGCAACAUAACAAUAAUUGCAUUUUCAUGGUAACAAUUGCGGGUGAUUCGAGCAAUUGGGCUGUUUGUGGUUAGCAACAUUGGCAAUGAAAAUGGCACAUCAACUAAGAGUGAAAUUCCUAGUCUAAGUGACACCGAUAAUAACUGUAUUUGUUCUGUUAGAAGUCAAGUCCUUGGCAUUUGACUUACACUUGUAAACCUUUGAUAAUCAUUAUAUGUGCAUGUAUUGUAGUUGUAAUGUAUUAUUUUGCUAUAUUAUGUUUCUAAGUUGUGCUGAUCGCUGAAUAGCUGUUAAUUUAUGUUGUGUUGUAUAGACUGAGAAAGUUGAUCUGGAGAAUACAGUAGUUGACAAGAGCCAAAGACAAUUGAAAGAGGUUGGGGAGUCCUCUAGAUCGAACCAAGAAAAAUACAGCGGUAAGUUUUUCAAUUGCAUUAAAAUUGAUUCUGUAACCAGUACAAUGUAUUAAGCCAUUAUUUUUCCCUUUUCUUACAGCCUUUGUGCUAUCACAAAUCAAUUUGGAAUUUUAAAAAAGGUCGAGUGUAAUAUACCAUAUAAUUUUUCAAAUAAACCACUGAACCAAGAUUUUGCUUAGCUUUUAACUGUGGUUUAUUUUAUGGUUAUUGGGUGGAAUGAAGAACGCCAGACACGGGCCAAAAGCAUUAUUCCUUUCUUAUUUCCCAUUCUUCAUGAAUUAGCAAGAGCAGGAGGUAACUGUGGUGGGCCUAAAUAAGAUGGAAAAUUGAGUUUUGCAGUAUAAAGUGAGCCUUAUGGUUUAAACUUAAAAGUUAACGCAUAAAAUAUAAACUAGAGAAAAAAGUUAUCUAUGGUGUAGGCAUGUUGAGAUAAUGAAGUGCAACAUUUAAGUUUUGGAAACAAUAUAUGCACACUGGUAGCAUCAAUUUUCUGAUGUUGCAUCCAAGGCUUUUCUUGGACGUCUUUAUGAUGAUCUACUGAUCUAAUCAUAUUUAAUAAUGUCAAAAAGGCUCUGAUGUAGCCUAAAAAUUCCUUAGUCAACAAUUCUACUGGCAAGAAAUUUUGAACGUAUUUUGUUCUGUAUCAUAGUCCACUUAAUCUAAUGUUAUGGAACAUUUAACACUUUGCAUGUUAUCCAUGGGUAUUCUUGUGGUUGGCAGCUUCAGAAAACUUAAGAUAAUGUAGGCUACAUUUGGUAUUUGGUGUGUGGAGGUUACUGUUUACUGGAUCAACAAGGUGGAAGAGCAUCUAUAGGUUUUGUUAAGAAAGAAAGGGGAUUGAAAUUAGCUUUAUUUUGGUACUUAUGGCUGCUUGAUAGUUGAUUAUAGUUACUAAAAUUUUUAAAUAAAAUGAAUUGGGGUAUAAUAUUUAAUGAGAAAUUGGGCGGGCAACAGGUUUAUGUAAUUAGGCUCUUAAGCAAGAAAAUUACCAAAUAAGAAUGUUAAAUGUUGAGUUAGUAAGAAAAAGAAUGAUUAGAAUCGAACUUACUGUUUCAUAGUCUCGUCUUCUAUUUUCAGAUUGCAUUUCUUUUUGAAGGGGACAAAGAAAUGUCUUCACCUGCACGACCUAAAAAAAGCCUUUUAGUAGCGCUAAGCCUUUUAAACAUGGCUGUAUAGCAAUUUCAUUCUACCAGGUAGGGUGAAAACACUUGGUUGUUUAGGGGUGUGAACUACUACUACCUAAGGCAUUUAUUGUGAUAAGUAGCUUAUAAUAUUUUUAUGACUAAUAGCAUGCUUCAUAUGUGCUGAACUUGCACACACACACACACAUAUAUCUGAAUAUUGCAUAUUAUAUGCGUACCUAUUUAGAUAGUUUUCUACUGUCCAAUAAUUGUUUUGUGUUAUGUCCAAUCAAUUCAUAGAAGCCUAUCCCACUGUAUCGCAUUAUAAACCAAUUAGAGUAACAACUCAUAAGAUAUGUUAAUAAGUAACAUUGCUUCACAGACUAUAAGCUUCUAGAGUAAUCUGGCUUUUCAAAGCGUUACAACUCAUAAGAUCUGUUGGGUUCCCAAUCUAUAGUCAAAUGUUAUGGCAUAAUUAUUAUAUUGUAUAACAAAAAUCGUCUUUGUAUCCCUUUUUCUUAAACAUAUGGCAGAAUAUAGGAACUAUUAAAUGGCGACGUUCAAGAAUUUUAAAGAGGAGUUGUCCCAAUGUCUGUUGCAUCCAUUCAUGUCAGUUCCUGCACAUUUGUUGAUUGAAUAAUGUAAUGCUGGAACUUUUGAAUGCUCAAACUUUCCAUUUUCUAUCUAUUAAAUUUACUCAGUUGUCUUCUUGUUUCACUGUUUAACACUUUAACCUCAUUUACAACAUUGUGCAUGUCACCCUGAAACACAUGUCUGCACUAGCCUUUUGAUGUACUAUUUAGUUUUAUGGUUGUUAAAUCAUGGUUGGUGAUAGAAUUAAAACCUGAGCUUUCAUGUAAUUUGAAUUUUAUAUUUAAAACUGAUAUCUAUCUAAUCUUUCUACUUUCAUCAUGCAAUUAUUUGCAGCUUGUAGCUAGUGGACUUCAGGUUUGGGAACAAUUUGACUACUUUUUGAGACCUGAGAAGGUUUUUUUGGGGAGACGAAUUUAGAGAAGGUUUUGUGCUUUUUUCUGCUUGUAACUGUUCCUUGUGAAGAUAGGUUUCUAAUAACUCAGAAAAUGCCUGAUGAGUGGCAAAAAGUAUUCUAGUACCCAUUCAUCACAAUAGCUAGUACCCAUUCAUCACAAUAGCUAGUGAAGCUAGUGAGGUCAAUGGUUCAUGCUUACUGUUUAUGGGCUGCAUGCUAGCAUAUAAUGCAAAAACAGAACAAUUUGGUAGUCAAUAAAAAGGGUAUUACCUUCUUCCAUGUCCCUUGAUUGGUAAGAAAAUAACACAACAUUGUUGUCUUUGUGUAUUGAUUUUGACACUAAGUGUCUCUGGUGACCUAUUUGCUUCAUUUUCCUGACUUGCUAUUAUUUUUAAAUAUAUGCAGGAAGAUUGCUUCUACGACCUGUCUUACAAUAUUGGGUAUCAAAUUUUCGUGCUAUGUUUACGGAAGACAAAGGACGAAAUUAUGAAGUUUACUCUCUAUAUAUGUAGAUAUAUAUUUUGAUUGAAGAACUGUGGUAGCUUUAGUUGGUUAAUUGUAAAGAUAAUUAAUGAUUAUGUAGUGGAUGAUUUUAUUAAGUUAAUAAUAUUUUAUUUUAUUUUUGUAUUUUUGCCAUUAUUUGCUAUGGGGACAUUGAGCCAAUCAGG
rnacentral:lncRNA from 1 species